GAGACCGCCGGCGAAGAGAGGAGGUGGUUUGGAGCAGGGCAGGUGCAGCCGGAGGGAAGCGGCGGCCAGGCCGCUGUCGCGGCUGUCGCCUAACGUUGAGCCCCACUCAAGGGCAGGAGAGCGGGGAGACUGGGCCGUGUCGAGCACCGCUCUCUGCGGAGGAGUUCCGCCCGUUCGGCCGUGCCGGCCUCGAUGCGUGCGUGGGAGUGGGCGCAGUACGCGGUCACGGUCCUUCGCGCAGCGCGUACGCACCGGGCGCUGCACGUUUAAAGGCCACCUGCUAAGCCCCGUUUUACAAGAAAGUUGGUGGAGCACCACUAAAAAACGAGUUUCCUGUGAGCAUCUCAAUCGGUGUGGCCUCGUGAGUAAAGAAAGUAAAGAAAAUCCAGACAGAUUCAGAAUUUAACAAGAGCGGUGCUAGCCUGGAAGAACUGCUUAGAGU